rnacentral:rRNA from 1 species
UACAGAGGUCUCAAGCGUUGUUCGGAUUCAUUGGGCGUAAAGGGUGCGUAGGCGGCGCGGUAAGUCGGGUGUGAAAUCUCGGGGCUUAACUCCGAAACUGCAUUCGAUACUGCCGUGCUUGAGGACUGGAGAGGAGACUGGAAUUUACGGUGUAGCGGUGAAAUGCGUAGAUAUCGUAAGGAAGACCAGUGGCGAAGGCGGGUCUCUGGGCCACACCUGACGCUGAGACGCGAAAGCUAGGGGAGCGAACAGG